rnacentral:rRNA from 1 species
AAAUUGAAGAGUUUGAUCAUGGCUCAGAUUGAACGCUGGCGGCAGGCCUAACACAUGCAAGUCGAACGGUAACAGGAAACAGCUUGCUGUUUCGCUGACGAGUGGCGGACGGGUGAGUAAUGUCUGGGAAACUGCCUGAUGGAGGGGGAUAACUACUGGAAACGGUAGCUAAUACCGCAUAACGUCGCAAGACCAAAGAGGGGGACCUUCGGGCCUCUUGCCAUCGGAUGUGCCCAGAUGGGAUUAGCUUGUUGGUGGGGUAAC